GCCUUAGCCUAGUGGUUAAAGUCUGGGAUUAAAAUUCUGAAGGUUAGUGGUUCAAAUCCCACUGACGGCA